rnacentral:sRNA from 1 species
CCACUGUCCCCGGAACUACGUCCACACCCAGCUGUUCGCCACUUUUAUCCUAAAGGCGGGAGCUGUGUUCCUGAAGGAUGCCGCCCUUUUCCACAGUGACGACACUGACCACUGCAGCUUCUCCACUGUAAUGGCCAUGGGUGAAGGGGCUGGGCAGGUGGGGGAGAGAGGAGGUUCUAUGCAAGGUCUCCGUGGCCACCUCCCAUUUCGCCACCAUGACCAACUUCAGCUGGCUGUUGGCAGAAGCCGUCUACCUGACCUGCCUCCUGGCCUCCACCUCCCCCAGCUCAAGGAGAGCCUUCUGGUGGCUGGUUCUCGCUGGCUGGGGGCUGCCCAUGCUCUUCACUGGCAUGUGGGUGGGCUGCAAGCUGGCCUUCGAGGACAUCGCGUGCUGGGACCUGGACGACAGCUCCCCCUACUGGUGGAUUAUCAAAGGGCCCAUUGUCCUCUCGGUCGGGGUGAACUUUGGGCUUUUUCUCAAUAUUAUCCGCAUCCUGGUGAGGAAACUGGAGCCAACUCAGGGCAGCCUCCAUACCCAGUCUCAGUAUUGGCGUCUCUCCAAGUCAACACUUUUCCUGAUCCCACUCUUUGGAAUUCACUACAUCAUCUUCAACUUCCUGCCAGACAAUGCUGGCCUGGGCAUCCGCCUCCCCCUGGAGCUGGGACUGGGUUCCUUCCAGAGAUUCGCAGACUGGGCCUACGAUGCAGGUUCCUGGGCAGAUCCUUUGACUGCCAGCCUCCCCGCGGGUCCUGAGAGGAGAGCUUCCUAAAGAGAAGGAAGAAACUCGGACUUCCCUCCUGUUAUGUUCGGGCUCCUCUGUGAGAAAGAGGAGGAGAGAGGAAAAUGAAGGGCCCAUUCUCUGUCCCCAGAGAGCACCCAGGAAUGUUGGGAAGAUCUGCAAGGAUGAGCCUGAACCUAGAUGAUCCUGGUUCUUAGGCCUUCGAAUAUACCACCCGCCCUCCGGGGUCUCUGGCUUGCAGAAGGCAGAUUGACUUCUCAGCCUCCAUAAUUGCAUGAGCCAAUACCAUACAAUAAAGCUCUUUCUACACUCUG